AGAAGCGCUGAUACCCACUGGCCUCUUCGCUGGCUCGGGGUUUGUGUGGGCUCCGAGCGAGGGCAGACGGGCUAGAAGGCACCCGCCAGAGCGCAAACCCAUUAGCUGCCUGGCCCCCCGAGUCCCCCGCCUGGCUGUCUGGUUCCAUUAGAAGCAGCCCCGCAGAAGUGAGCACUUUUCAGAGCGGGGGUUCACCAGGCGGCUGGCUGCUCCCCGAGAACAGGGUGGAAACACACUUGACUGGUCUGGCUUCCAUUUGCACACUCGGCCAGGGACCAAAUGCUUCCUGGAUGCCCCGGAGCCAUCACGGAACAUCAGCUCCCACAUUUCUGAGCUGCUUUCAGCCAAAAUUAUCCCACUAAACGCAGAGACGUGGCCGGCCUGCCAGGCCACAGGCAGGCACUCUUUUUCCAGGGAGCGGACUGUAUAUGGGGCGCUGCUUUAAUCUAGAAGAGGGCCUUGUCAUGAGGAGGCCUGGUUCAAUGAAUGCUUAUUGAAAUUAACUUUUCUAGAACCUCUCAGCAAGAGAAUACCCUGGGAGCAAAGAUCCCAUAGGGGUAGAAUGUAAAUCACUGAGAUAGAACGAUUGCUAUGUGAAACCACCUCGCUCGCUUGUUUCGUCUCCGUCUCACCUGCUGCGGUCUAACUGCCGUGAACGUGAAGACAUUAGCCACCUUGCUCCGCGCUUUUCCCCAGAACCUACGAGAGCAUCAAGUACCGCCAGACGCAAAGUCGGACCCCAUGAGUAGUUACGUGAAGGACCACGAACGCCCCAGCAAGACUUUCCUUGCAGCCCGGAGCCUCAACGUGUCCUUCUGUCUCUUGCCUACUGGCUAUGACCUGCCUUCCUGGGGUCCGUUCACAAGGAAGAGCGUGAAUAAACCAACCUCAUCAGGGUCUCACGUUCUGAAGGCUACGUGUCACCAGUGCUGCUGGCAUAAAUACCUGCCCUUCCCCCGGCCGUCUGGACCCCGCUCCUCUCGUGGAACACACACCUGGGAAGGUCCAGAGUCCUUGGCUUCUGCUCCUUCGGUUCUGCUCUUAGCCUACCAUAGGCCACAAGACACUGCCUUGCAAUUUGCCCACAUGACGUGCCACGUCCGCAAGAGACACCUUAGGAGCACUGAUUAGUCAUCUUUCAUUUUUUUCAAGUUUGAUUUAUUUAUUUUGAGACAGAGAGUGAGUGAGUGAGCAGAGGAGGGGCAGCCCCCAUGUGGGGCUCGCACUCAAGAACCGCGAGACGGUUGGGGCGCCUGGGUGGCUCAGUCGGUGAAGCGUCCGACCUCGGCUCGGGUCAUGCUCUCGCGGUUCAUGAGUUCGAGCCCCGCAUCAAGCUCUGUGCUGACAGCUCAGAGCCUGGAGCCUGCUGCAGAUUCUGUGUCUCCCUCUCUCUCUGACCCUCCCCUGCUCAUGCUCUAUCGCUCUCUUUCUCAAAAAUAAAUAAAACGUUUUUAAAAAUUUAAAAAGAAAAAAAAAAGAACCGCGAGAUGGUGACCUGAGCUGAAAUCAAGAGUCGGACACUUAACCAACUGGGCCACCCAGGUGCCCGGAUUACUCAUCUUUUAAUCCUUGGUGGCCAACGGAAGAUCUUGGGGUCACGGAUUGAGUCAGCACAGACCACAGCAGCAGGUGAAUGCAGCGUCAUGAACACACAGCGGGGGUCAGGACACCUGGGCUUGAACCCAUGCUCUGCUGCUGACUGGCUGGGAGAUGCUGGAUGUGUCGCUUGAGCUCACUGAGUCCUGUUACUUCAUUUGUGGGAUGAGGGCUUAGACAGAAUUCGUGGUUCUCAGCUGGGCUUUUACCAGCUCCACAAGGGCCAAGAUCUGGGAUAGGGGAGAAAUGUACACUCUGAAGAAGAUCCUAUAGGUGAAACCAUCAGAUGACAAGUCGGGGUGAAAAGGGCCAGCCAGAUGUGACCCACAGGAGUACUUUGCUUGGCCUGUGCAAGCUUCACGUCUUUGAAUUGCAACAGCUUCAAGGGAAGGGGGCAGCUCCCUGCAGACCCCACCAGCCCCGCUGAUCUAUGUGCACCUGGCCCUGGCUCCCGCACUCAAAGACCCCCAAGGUAUUCCACAGAUUCUCAAAUCCCUGAAUCGAGAGCCUUCUGGAGCCGUUACUGGCUCUAGAGUUCUGUGACUCCACACAGCUUUGCUUUCAGACCCUGAGCACACGAAGCCUCUUGAAAGGGAUGGUCUGGGGAUAGUCUCUGAAGCUCUCCCUGCGGUAGAAAGACUGACACAACGGGAGUCCUGCCUCUUCUCCCAAACUAUUUAUCCCAAGGAAGCUUCAGGACCUACUAAUUCUGCCUCUAGAUGUGCUGGCGUUUGGGGCAAGAUGGCACCAGCCCCAAACUGAGACACCCAUAAGUGGAGCACAUGGUGGAUGGGAUUAUUGCUCCUAAUUCUUCACAUCCUUUGCACUGUGUACCUCCCGCUAAAAUAGUCACAGCCUAUUUCCCUGCCCCACAAUGUUGGGAGUCAGCCAUGUAGUUUUCUCAGGCCGAGGGGAUACCAGAGGGUAUGAUGCGAGCAGACACUCCACCUUACCUUUCUGGUUUGGUUUUGGCUUUGUGCUCCCGUGAGACACCACGAGAAAAGCAUGCCCCAAGUAGCUCCUUCAGCCUGGGACAUGAGGAGCAGACUUGUACCCAGCCUGCAGCCUAGCCCAGCUCGCCUACCACCUGAAACAGAGCCAUCCCAGCCAACAUAAAUUUGUGAGUGAGGAACACACACACACACACACACACACACACACACAAAAUGUGUGUGUUUGUGCACCAUGACAACUUGAGGACUGUUUGUUACACAGCAUCACUGCAGCAACAGCUGACCACUACAAGAAGGGAAGGUUGCCGACCUCACUGCGACACUACUAGAAGGAAGGAGAGGCGACUGGCCAUGCUACAGCAGCAUCUACUAUGCACACACCCCCUCUCCUCUGUUGUAGCAGAAGCACUAGGAAUUGGGUGAGGCUUCCUUCCUUCCUGAGUUUCCAGUCUUUUCCUCUAUCUCAGAGACAACAGGUACAUAACACAGUCUGCCAUGUUCUGGAUUGAUCCGUGCGUCAUCCCCACCUAUUCGUCUCUCAACUAUAAGCUCCUAGAGAGCAAAGACCAUGUCCUGAGCGUUUCACGUCCACCACGGCAUGUAAGAGAGCACCAGGCACUUCAGUGACUUGAUAAGUACUCAUUAGAUUGAGAAGAACAGAUGGGGUCCAUCCCAAGGAUGACAAACAUCGCUCAGAAAUGGUGAGAUCAAUGCCAGGGUUGAACCAUUAAGCCACAGGGGUGACCUCUGAGCCACCGUCUCCUCCAUCACGAGGCGUCAUCAGUUCUCGGGGGCUCCCCCGCCUGAGGACACCCUUAAAGAAGGUCCGGCAGGAGACACGUCUGCAGAGAUGACCCAGAAAGUACACAGGAGGCACCCACCGAGUGCUGGCCCGGCUCCAGGAGCGGCACGGGUGA